UCGGUGCUUGCCUCUCUUCCUCUUUCUCAACCCUUUCUUUCUGUGUGGUUCCUUUUCACCGCUCCUCUUUUUUUUCUUCCGUUGAACCACUUUGUUUCAGAGUACCUUGUGGUUCUAGCUCCACAGCUUCACCCUUGUCUGAAACAGUCACAGUUUCACUUGCAUGCACCGAUAUUUGCGAAGACAACAAUGGGAUCGUGUGGGUUUUCCUCGAACUCAACCAAGUCGGGUAAAGGAAACUGAUGAAUGUCUUUCGGAGGGUGUGUUCCAUGGUAAGCUUUAAGCAGCGAAACGUGAACGAUGGGGUGGAUCUUUGAUGACGAUGGGAGGUCCAACAGAUAGUUGACAGUGCCCGUGCGCUUGAUGAUACGGAAAGGUCCGAAAUACCUUUGAGCUAGCUUUUGAGACUCGCGGCGGUGGACGGUCGUUUGUCGGUACGGUUGUAACUUUAGUAAGACCCAGUCACCUUCCACAAAGGUAACGUGUUGGCGUGUCGUAUUAGCUUGUUUUUCCAUGGCUAUUCUACUUUUUUUCAAAUGUUAUUUUAACUAAGCCAAGAUUUAUUGUUGUUGCUGUAGCGCUGAUUCCAGAUCUGCCUCAGAGGUGGAGUGUUGAACAUAGUCCAUGAGUUUUGGUGGGUCACGACCGUAAAGAGCCUUAAACGGAGUCAUCUGAAUCGCGGAAUGAAAAGACAUAUUGUACCAGUAUUCUGCAAGGUGUAAAAACUUGUGCCACGUUUUCGGAUGCUCUCCCGCAAAACAACGAUUGUGCCGUGAUUUUUGAAGAACUGCUUCCAGAACUUGCUUAAAAAUAAGGGAUCCCGAUCUGAUACGAUGGUUUUUGGACAGCCAUAGAGACGAAAUAUUUCGACUGUGAAACGGUUGGCCAGAUCUUUUGCUGUGAAGUGUGUUGGUAAAGGAAUGAAGUGAACAAAUUUGGAUAGCCGAUCGCAGAUCACCCAUAUUGCAGUGUGGCCGAAUGAACUUGGUAAGUGAGUAAUAAAGUCCAUUGUUAUCUCUUCCCAUACUUGUUUAGGAAUCGGUAAUGGUUGGAGCAACCCUUUUUUCUGAGUUGCAUAUUUGUUUUGUUGACAUGUGGGACACUUCUUAACCAAAUCUUUCACUUCGAGGUACACCCCUGGCCAGCAAAACGAGGCUCGCAGCCUGGCCAAAGUCGCCUUGACACCGGAGUGGCCUGCUGUAGGUGUUUGAUGAUACUCCCGAAGUAUGUUCUGACGCAGAUCGGCUAUAGCAGGUGUUGAGCACAUCUGGGAGAGGAGACGAGAAAACCAGAAGUGUAGAUUUUUCAGGCUCAAACUUCCUGCUUAAAGCGUCCGCCACAAGAUUCGACUUGCCAGGUUUGUAAGAGAUCUCAAAAUCAAAUCCUUGUAAUUUUGCAGUCCAUCUUUGUUGUUCUGGUGUCUGUAUGCGCUGUAGUAGCAAGUUUCUUAGGCUCUUCUGAUCAGUAAAGAUGUGAAAUUUUGACCUAUA